CUCAUGGAGACCACGUCAACCACCGGCCUAAGGAAAGCAGCGGGAAAGCUGUGAGUUGAAGCCAGAGAUGAAUCCAUGCUCAACCUGUGUGUGGCAGACUCCUAAGUACUUGCUAGGGAGGGUCCUCAAAACCAGCUCCAGGUCCUCAAAAUUAGUGUACAAGCUGUGGACACCACAGAGCAAAGCCACUGCUCAGAGAAAGCACACAUCCUGGUUGCUAUGUCUUCCAUGCACGGGGCCCUCACUAUGGACCAGACACUCCUAAGGGCCAUGCACCCUGUACGAUAUCUGAUCCCCCAUCUACCUUCCCUUUACAGAAAGUGUGACGCGGCUUAAGCAGCUUGUCUGAGUUUGCACAGCUGGCAAAUGGCUGAGCCAUGACUCACACCCAGGUCCAUCCACCGCCAAAGCUCCAGAUCUCUGGCAUCCUUCUAAGGUCAGAAAGGGAAAGAAAUCCCUAAUAAGGAGCCUGUGUGACGGCGUGCCCCCCUCCACUUUCCCACCCCUGCCAAGGACCCGUUUGAAGGCUGUUCACGCCAGUCACUGCAAUCACCAUUGAGCACAGAGAUGACAGUUCCAGCAAGCACUGACCUUCCAGCCCACUCUGCGGAGGAGAAGACUGAGGGGCAGAGAGGCUGUUGAUUUGCUGCAGUUGACUCUGACCCUAAUUUCCCGGCGCUGACUCAAACUCAUCAGGAACACUGCUUUCACUGAGUGUAUGAAGUGGUUUCUCCAUCCGUGUGGCUUUACCUGAACUCACACCGGUCCCACGGCCCAGGUGUGGAGCCGAGCACUCCCCUCUGCCUCCUCCCUGGACUGCAGGACCUGUGUCUCGCUUUAUGAAAGAGAUGCCAUUUGGGGAAGACUCGCAUUGUCGGGAGCGCUGUGGACGCUCCAGAAGGAGAUCAACACGAUGAUGACGAUGCCGGGUGGAGGGAAUGUGCACUUCUCGGGAGGAGGAGCCAAAAGCAUUUUGCUGACCUCGGUGCAGAUCAACCCUGCAACAAGGUGCAGAAGAGGCACCAAAGGGGCUUUGUAGCCAGCAACAUGCCAGAUCCAUGCACCUUGUUGAUGCAGCCGACUCUGCAGGGGUGCAGGAGGUGAGGACUCACACAGGGGUGCGGGAGGUGAGGACCCACGCAGGGGCGCAGGAGGUGAGGACCCACGCAGGGGUGCAGGAGGUGAGGAUCCACACAGGGGUGCAGGAGGUAAGUAUCCAUGCAAGGGUGCGGGAGGUGAAGACCCAAGCAGGGGUGCCAUCGAAGGCCAUGGGAGGGACAGCUCCAGGAACAGAGGCAAGGCCCACCCCACCCUGACUAUGAGGGGACAAGUCCAUGGCCAAGGGUCCAUGGCCAAGGAUCUUGGGAGCCAUUAUCUCUGCUACACGCCAUGCAAGCAGAGGUGCCCUCUGGCAACCAGAUGCCGCUCUGGGUACAGCCGAUGCAAACACGAGAGAAAGCGUCAACCAGAUGGGAUCAUCGGCCCAGGGACAGAGAGAGGGGGG
rnacentral:lncRNA from 1 species